UCCUCCCAGAUGAUGACAUGAACUUCUUAGUUCCUCUGUCCAUUGUAGUAGCUGAUAAAUUGUGAAAAUCUGGUAGAAAGCAAUAUAAUUACACUAUAUAUUUAGCCAAAAAAACUGUAUAUAAAACAUUGUUAUUGAUUUAUUAGGCUUUUAUAUUUUUGACACAGACUAGGAUAGGAAGUAAAAAAAUAAGAAAGAGUAAAAAAAUCAUUGUAUCAAAGUGAAAUUGGAUGCAUAUUAGACAUAAUGGAUUAUUCUCUCCAUUUGCUGACAUGCAAACCUUCUAGUGAUUUAUGAUGGUAAUUUUUAAAAUCCCUGUGAUUCUGCUUUUUGGUAGCUUUCUGCAGCAGCUUGUGUGAAGAGUGCUGGACUGUGCUUUGGAGCUCGCCCCACUAUCGAUCUAAGUGACCAUGCUUCUGUGUGUCCAAGUGUGUGUGGUACCCGGUAAUGUAAUGUAAUGCUGACUCAGACUGAGUUCGCCGACAGCUGCUGCCUCUUACUGAAGAGAGACGGGGAUUUGAGGAGGGAGAGGGACGACUGGUGUGUGGGAGGGUGUGAGGAGGUAGAUUUAAAUAGAAUAGCACUGAUAGGCUUUUUAUUUCCCAUCAUGCCACACAUUUUUAUCUGAGACUAUUCUAUUUCAAUCUUGACACAAGAGGGUGUUUUUUAGAUGUUCCCUGAUGAAGGUUUUCUUUUUAGUAAAGGCUUUUAAUGAAGCUGACUCUUAAUUAAAGUGCAAAAACUUGCUUCUAUUAUUAGAAAAUAUCCACUGGAAAUAUUUUAGUGCUGUAGUGUAAGUUGACAAUCUUUUUAUUUUGUGU